GGCACUGUAGUUUAGCCUGGUAGAACCCCAGUCUCAUGAGCUGGUGAUCGGCGGUCCAAAUCCGCCCAGUGCCA
rnacentral:tRNA from 1 species